rnacentral:rRNA from 1 species
GGGGAAUUUUGGACAAUGGGCGAAAGCCUGAUCCAGCAAUGCCGCGUGCAGGAAGAAGGCCUCCGGGUUGUAAACUGCUUUUGUACGGAACGAAAAGGUUCUUUUUAAUAAAGAGGACUGAUGACGGUACCGUAAGAAUAAGCACCGGCUAACUACGUGCCAGCAGCCGCGGUAAUACGUAGGGUGCGAGCGUUAAUCGGAAUUACUGGGCGUAAAGCGUGCGCAGGCGGUGAUGUAAGACAGAUGUGAAAUCCCCGGGCUCAACCUGGGAACUGCAUUUGUGACUGCAUCGCUGGAGUGCGGCAGAGGGGGAUGGAAUUCCGCGUGUAGCAGUGAAAUGCGUAGAUAUGCGGAGGAACACCGAUGGCGAAGGCAAUCCCCUGGGCCUGCACUGACGCUAGUGCACGAAAGCGUGGGGAGCAAAC